rfam:Ictidomys tridecemlineatus contig058606, whole genome shotgun sequence.
GGGGAUAUAGCUCAGUUGGUAGAGUGCUUGCUCAGCAUGCACAAGACCCUGGGUUCAAACCCCAGCACCACCA